CCUACGGGGUGCAGCAGUAGGGAAUCUUUGGCAAUGGGCGCAAGCCUGACCCAGCAACGCCGCGUGAAGGAAGAAGGCUUUCGGGUUGUAAACUUCUUUUCUCAGGGACGAAGAAAGUGCCGGUACCUGAGGAGUAAGCCACGGCUAACUACGUACCAGCAGCCGCGGUAAUACGUAGGUGGCAAGCGUUAUCCGGAUUUAUUGGGUGUAAAGUGCGUGUAGGCGGGAGCGCAAGUCAGAUGUGAAAACUCAGGGCUCAACCCUGAGCCGGCAUUGGAAACUGUGUUUCUUGAGUGCUGGAGAGGCAAGCGGAAUUCCGUGUGUAGCGGUGAAAUGCGUAGAUAUACGGAGGAACACCAGUGGCGAAGGCGGAUUGCUGGACAGUAACUGACGCUGAGGCGCGAAAGCGUGGGGAGCAAACAGGAUUAGAUACCCGGGUAGUC
rnacentral:rRNA from 1 species